UGAGCAACCUGCCCCUGGCUCUGGGAUAACUCCGGGAAACCGGAGCUAAUACCGGAUACGAGACCGAUUGGCAUCUUUACGGUCUGGAAAGUUUUUCGGCCAGGGAUGGGCUCGCGGCCUAUCAGCUUGUUGGUGAGGUAAUGGCUCACCAAGGCGACGACGGGUAGCCGGCCUGAGAGGGCGAUCGGCCACACUGGGACUGAGACACGGCCCAGACUCCUACGGGAGGCA
rnacentral:rRNA from 1 species